GACGAACGCUGGCGGCGUGCUUAACACAUGCAAGUCGAACGGAAAGGCCCUGCUUUUGUGGGGUGCUCGAGUGGCGAACGGGUGAGUAACACGUGAGUAACCUGCCCUUGACUUUGGGAUAACUUCAGGAAACUGGGGCUAAUACCGGAUAGGAGCUCCUGCUGCAUGGUGGGGGUUGGAAAGUUUCGGCGGUUGGGGAUGGACUCGCGGCUUAUCAGCUUGUUGGUGGGGUAGUGGCUUACCAAGGCUUUGACGGGUAGCCGGCCUGAGAGGGUGACCGGCCACAUUGGGACUGAGAUACGGCCCAGACUCCUACGGGAGGCAAGAGUGGGGAAUAUUGCACAAUGGGCGGAAGCCUGAUGCAGCAACGCCGCGUGCGGGAUGACGGCCUUCGGGAUGUAAACCGCUUUCGCCUGUGACGAAGCGUGAGUGACGGUAAUGGGUAAAGAAGCACCGGCUAACUACGU
rnacentral:rRNA from 1 species